GGGCUCCGUGGGCUUUUCUUCAACAAAGGAAUGAACUACGCCAUUAAAACGAUGUCGCAUCAGAAUUUUAAAAAUGGCAAAUUAUCUCAUUCUCUGCCUUUUGGCGUACUGGACGAUCAACUUGUGUUCUUGUUUUAAGAAAGAAAGAUUCUUUUGAUGGACAGAAGUCUGGUGACUUGUGAGUUUAAUGUUUAACACGGCACGCACACCAGCUGGCAACAACUCAGCCGUCUAAUAACUGGAUUUGCCAAAAGAAUUGCUUUGAAGUUGCUCAAAUAAAUGUUAUACGGAACACACUCCAAGAUGUCAAAAGUUUACCUCUAUCUUACACACUAUCGGCUUAUUUUAGUUCGUUUACUUCACUCCCAUUAACAAAAAUCUAGCCAACUGAUCUCACAAAUGAAAAUGAGUUGGUUGUGGACACAAUUUUUAACUAGCAUAUGAAGGCCAUGGUUAAAUUGGCUUCAAAAAGUUUCUGAUUA